AAGGGGCUUCGGCCCUGAGUAGAGUGGCAAACGGGUGAGUAACGCGUGGGUGACCUGCCCUUGAGUGGGGGAUAACGUUCCGAAAGGGACGCUAAUACCGCAUAACAUCCUGCUUUUGAACAGGUGGAGAUCAAAGCCGGGGACCGCAAGGCCUGGCGCUUGAGGAGGGGCCCGCGUCCGAUUAGCUAGUUGGUAGGGUAAUGGCCUACCAAGGCGACGAUCGGUAGCCGGCCUGAGAGGGCGGACGGCCACACUGGGACUGAGACACGGCCCAGACUCCUACGGGAGGCAGCAGUGGGGAAUUGUUCGCAAUGGGCGCAAGCCUGACGACGCAACGCCGCGUGGAGGAUGAAGGUCUUCGGA
rnacentral:rRNA from 1 species